rnacentral:rRNA from 1 species
GCAAAAGCUCAAAUUUGAAACCUUCGGGAUUGUAAUUUGAAGAUUUGGCAUUGGAGAAAGCUAACCCAAGUUGCUUGGAAUAGUACGUCAUAGAGGGUGACAACCCCGUCUGGCUAACCGUUCUCCAUGUAUUGCCUUAUCAAAGAGUCGAGUUGUUUGGGAAUGCAGCUCAAAGUGGGUGGUAAACUCCAUCUAAAGCUAAAUACUGGUGAGAGACCGAUAGCGAACAAGUACUGUGAAGGAAAGGUGAAAAGAACUUUGAAAAGAGAGUGAAAUAGUAUGUGAAAUUGUUGAUAGGGAAGGAAAUGAGUGGAGAGUGGUUGAGGUUUCAGCCUACCUUUGGGUAGGUGUAUUGCCAACGCCGAGUCAUUGACAGCGAGACGGCGGUUAUAAACGGGUUGCUCUUGAGCCUCUCACCUAA